rnacentral:rRNA from 1 species
UACGUAGGGUGCAAGCGUUGUCCGGAAUUAUUGGGCGUAAAGAGCUUGUAGGCGGUUUGUCGCGUCUGCUGUGAAAUUUCGGGGCUCAACCCCGAACUUGCAGUGGGUACGGGCAGACUAGAGUGUGGUAGGGGAGACUGGAAUUCCUGGUGUAGCGGUGAAAUGCGCAGAUAUCAGGAGGAACACCGAUGGCGAAGGCAGCUCGCUGGGACGUUACUGACACUGAGGCGCGAAAGCGUGGGGAGCGAACAGGG